CAAACAAAAAAAAAAAAAAUCUUUUUGUUUGUUUGUGCGUGUGUUUGUGCAGUCGAAGGAACACCGUUUGGUGAAGGUGGUGAGCUCAACUCGAUAUUUUUGCCAGGGUUACUUAUAUAGUAUAACCUUUGAAGCCAAACUUCCUGGCCAAGAUGAUUCGGAUGCACUCACUUUAGUUACUGAGGUUUACGAAGAUUUCUCCGGUGAACGUCAAGUAGACUUUGUUUGCAAGCCCGAUGAACGUCCACCUUACGAUCCCUAAACCCGAUAAUCUAGAAUUUAGUACACUCGCAAAGGCUGCAUUUGGAUGCAAGGGUUUGCAUUUGAGGGAUUUUCGAACGACUUUUAAUGAGAUGUAUUUGAAAUGUUGGUGAUUCGAAAUCCACAUUUGCAGAAUAUAGACGGUGCUCAACUCUUCUUACGACGUGGAAUAAUUAAACGAAUAUGAUCCCGAUGAAGAAUUGAGUUGGCCGGGUUGAUACUUAAGAGUUUCUUUCACAUUUGAUUGAUCGUAAUGGUAGGGUUAAGAAGUACUUGUAUGUCAAUUAGUUCAUUAAUUCCUCGUAUAUUACAUUUAAUUUUUCGCUUGCUCAUUCAUUUUAAUUUCUAAAUAAUUUCGCGUAAAAUUUAUAAAUUAUUAAAGAAAAUAACUUUUUAAAAUUAAGACGGGUUUCGACCCGUGAAGGUUGGGUUCUACUUUAAAUCCGCAAUAAACCCGUUUAGCCUAAACUCGUCGAAAACCCACAAAUUUGGUUCUUAAAAUCAAGAACUGUUGAUUUUGCUAGAACCCAUAAUAGUAAUUAUACAUUUAUAUUAUUUUUUUAGUUACUAUCUUCAUCUAUAAGUUUUC